rnacentral:rRNA from 1 species
UACGAAGGGGGCUAGCGUUGUUCGGAAUUACUGGGCGUAAAGCGCACGUAGGCGGACUACUAAGUCAGGGGUGAAAUCCCGGGGCUCAACCCCGGAACUGCCUUUGAUACUGAUAGUCUCGAGUCCGGAAGAGGUGAGUGGAAUCCCGAGUGUAGAGGUGAAAUUCGUAGAUAUUCGGAGGAACACCAGUGGCGAAGGUGGCUCACUGGUCCGGUACUGACGCUGAGGUGCGAAAGCGUGGGGAGCAAACAGG